UGCAUAUUAAGACUAUUCACACUACCUCAUGGCAACCAUGGCAACCUCAGAGGAAGCAGCAAGGAAGAGAACAAGUGGAAUGCAUUUAGGAAAGAAAUUGCUAUCGAUCCUCACCUAAGACACAUCAUGACUUGCAUCUGAAAUGAUUUCCACCACCCGGCCAUCGAUGGAUAAUUAAUGUGCCGUCACUAUCCCUGCCGUCCAUCACUAUCCGUCCAUAGAUAGAUUGGCUCUAUCAGGACACAUUGCCUUCAUCAUUACGUCUGUUCAUAAAGACAUCAGAGCUUCGGCCCAGUUGCGCCCUGUAUAGAUGACUGUGCAACCUGCUUUGGUGUCCCCAGUGAUCAGUUAUCUAAGCUCAUGUCUCACCUGUCAACAACCAAGCUCGGACUACAUGGACUCAUUU